rnacentral:lncRNA from 1 species
UCCUCACCAACUCCGGUGCGCGGUCCAUUUGCAUUCGGCUACAACGAUCUCGUGGGCCCCAUCUUCCAAAUUCUUAUUGGUUGGUGAGUGGACCCCACUUCAUGGGAAGCAUUGAGGAUGAUGCGGUGCGCAGCAUGUCAGACUUACAGCAUCCGGUGGUAGGUGAAGCAAAGGAAGCACGAUGAGUGAUGUUAGCUUAAUUUUUACAUCA